rnacentral:rRNA from 1 species
CCUACGGGAGGCUGCAGUGGGGAAUAUUGGGCAAUGGGCGAAAGCCUGACCCAGCAACGCCGCGUGAAGGAAGAAGGCUUUCGGGUUGUAAACUUCUUUUGACAGGGAGGAGCAGACGACGGUACCUGUCGAUUAAGCCACGGCUAACUACGUGCCAGCAGCCGCGGUAAUACGUAGGUGGCCAGCGUUGUCCGGAUUUACUGGAGGGAAAGGGCUAGUAGCCGGGCUGACAAGUCAGACGUGAAAUCCGGGGGCUCAACCCACGAACUGCAUUUGAAACUGGUGGUCUUGAGUAUCGGAGAGGCAGGCGGAAUUCGUGGUGUAGCGGUGAAAUGCGUAGAUAUUAGGAGGAACACCAGUGGCGAAGGCGGCCUGCUGGACGACGACUGACGGUGAGGCGCGAAAGCGUGGGGAGCAAACAGGAUUAGAUACCCGGGUAGUC